GAUGGAAGCUUGCUUCUAUCAAUCUUAGUGGCGAACGGGUGAGUAACGCGUAAUCAACCUGCCCUUCAGAGGGGGACAACAGUUGGAAACGACUGCUAAUACCGCAUACGAUCUAAUCUCGGCAUCGAGGAUAGAUGAAAGGUGGCCUCUACAUGUAAGCUAUCACUGAAGGAGGGGAUUGCGUCUGAUUAGCUAGUUGGAGGGGUAACGGCCCACCAAGGCGAUGAUCAGUAGCCGGUCUGAGAGGAUGAACGGCCACAUUGGGACUGAGACACGGCCCAGACUCCUACGGGAGGCAGCAGUGGGGAAUCUUCCGCAAUGGACGAAAGUCUGACGGAGCAACGCCGCGUGAGUGAUGACGGCCUUCGGGUUGUAAAGCUCUGUUAAUCGGGACGAAAGGCCUUCUUGCGAAUAGUGAGAAGGAUUGACGGUACCGGAAUAGAAAGCCACGGCUAACUACGUGCCAGCAGCCGCGGUAAUACGUAGGUGGCAAGCGUUGUCCGGAAUUAUUGGGCGUAAAGCGCGCGCAGGCGGAUAGGUCAGUCUGUCUUAAAAGUUCGGGGCUUAACCCCGUGAUGGGAUGGAAACUGCCAAUCUAGAGUCUCGUAGAGGGGGGUAGAAUUCCAGGUGUAGCGGUGAAAUGCGUAGAGAUCUGGAGGAAUACCGGUGGCGAAGGCGGCCCCCUGGACGAAGACUGACG
rnacentral:rRNA from 1 species